rnacentral:rRNA from 1 species
UUGGAGGGCAAGUCUGGUGCCAGCAGCCGCGGUAAUUCCUGCUCCAAUAGCGUAUAUUAAAGUUGUUGCAGUUAAAAAGCUCGUAGUUGAAUUUCGGGGUUCUACCGUUGGUCGGGCUUUGUCUGUACUGGUGUGUAGAAUUUCUACCUUCUGGGGAACCAUCAUGCUAUUAAUUUAGCGUGGUGGGAAACCAGGACCUUUACCUUGAAAAAAUUAGUGUGUUCAAAGCAGGCUUAUGUCUGAAUACAUUAGCGUGGAAUAAUAGAAUAGGACGGUGGUCCUGUUUUGUUGGUUUCUGAAUCACCGUAAUGAUUAAUAGGGAUAGUUGGGGGCAUUAGUAUUCAAUUGUCAGAGGUGAAAUUCUUGGAUUUAUUGAAGACUAACUACUGCGAAAGCAUUUGCCAAGGAUGUUUUCAUUAAUCAAGAACGAAAGUUAGGGUAUCGAAGACGAUCAGAUACCGUCGUAGUCUUAACCAUAAACUAUGCCGACUAGGGAUCGGAUGAUGUUAAUUUUUUAAUGACUCAUUCGGCGCCUUACGGGAAAC